rnacentral:misc_RNA from 1 species
AUUAAGGUUCGGAACAAUAGUUUAGGUGCGGGGUGGCAGUGUGGGUGGCGCUGACAGGCUGCCGACGGUAACUAACCUCUACACUCUUCUCUCCCUCGCUCUGUACGUCUGUCUCCUGUCUACCUACACCAGAAUUCGUCAACAUGGCAGCUUUUGAAGAAAUGGGUGUACUCCCAGAAAUAGCUAAGGCUGUAGAAGAGAUGGAUUGGACGUUGCCAACGGAUGUCCAGAAUGAGGCAGUCCCACUUAUUUUGGGAGGUGGGGAUGUGCUCAUGGCAGCUGAAACAGGCAGUGGCAAGACUGGUGCUUUCUGUCUUCCCAUCCUACAAAUUGUCUGGGAAUCACUUAAGGAUAUUCAGCUUGGCAAGACUUCAAAAGUUACUAAAGAAAUAUCUCCUCUCUGGUUGAUGAGCUUCUUUGACCGUGACGCAGGAAUGGCUGUGACACCUGAUGGCUUGCGGUGCCAGUCACGGGAUCCUAAAACAUGGCAGGGUGCCCGUUGCACCAAGGGUGUCACUGGCAAGGGAAAAUAUUACUAUGAAGCCGUUGUGUCGGAUGAAGGGUUGUGUCGUGUCGGGUGGGCAACUCCUCAGGCAGCAUUAGAUCUUGGAACAUGUAAAUCGGGAUUUGGAUUUGGAGGCACUGGAAAAAAGUCUAAUUGCAAGCAGUUUGACGACUAUGGUGAAUCUUUUGGCCUCAGGGAUGUGAUUGGUUGCUAUCUCAACCUGGAUGCCAUGGAGAUGCAUUACAGCAAAAAUGGCACUGAUUUAGGUAAAGCUUUCACAUUACGAAGUGAAUUCAAGAAUGCUGUCUUCCAUCCAGCUGUAGUUUUGAAGAAUGCCGAGAUGUCUUUCAAUUUUGGCGCAACAGAGUUCAAGCACCCACCUAAAGCGGGAUACGUAGCAGUGUCUCAGGCCAGCAAGGACUGUACUGUGAGCUCAGGUGUGAAGGGAGGUGGAGACAAGCCACAAAAGCUUCAGAACAAUGCUCCACACGCUGUCAUUAUUGAGCCUUCAAGAGAACUCGCAGAACAGACCCUAAAACAGGUUCAAAUGUUUCGUAAACAUCUAGAUAAUCCAGUGGUUCGUGACCUUCUUGUUGUUGGUGGUAUACCCGUGAAGGAGCAAAUAGCAGCACUCAAUGCAGGUGUGGAUAUUGUUUGUGGUACUCCAGGACGCUUGGAAGAUCUUAUUAAUACCGGACAACUCUCUCUCCAGUCUUGCAAAUUCUUUGUGUUGGAUGAGGCUGAUGGCCUUCUUAAACAGGGGCAUGAGCGUCUCAUCAAUAACAUCUACAACUCCAUACCCAAAAUCACAUCUGAAGGCAAGAGACUCCAGAUGGUGGUCUGUUCUGCCACCCUACAUUCCUUUGAAGUGAAGCGCAUGGCAGAACGUUUGAUGCACUUCCCGACCUGGGUAGAUCUUAAAGGGGAAGAUGCUGUGCCCGAGACUGUCCACCACGUUGUCGUAACCAUUGAUCCCAGAACGGAUAGUAGCUGGAGCAAUCUUCGUCGCCAUCUGCAGACUGAUGGUGUGCAUGUUAAGGAUGGCGUACGACCUGGGAACAAUACACCUGAGACAUUAAGUGAAGCAGUGAAGCUGCUGAAAGGAGAGUACUGCAUUAAGGCUAUUGACACACACAAAAUGGAUCAAGCACUAAUAUUCUGCCGCACUAAGUUGGAUUGUGACAAUUUAGAGCGCUAUUUUAAUCAGAUCGGAGGAGGGGCCAAUAACAGAGGCAAUCCAUAUUCGUGUGUGUGUCUCCAUGGUGACCGCAAGCCUAAUGAACGCAAAGCGAAUCUCCAAAAAUUUAAGGAUGGUGGAGUGAAGUUCCUUAUAUGCACUGAUGUAGCUGCUCGAGGAAUUGGUGUGGUACCAUGGAGAGUGGUGUUCAACUCGUGGGCGUAACUGUUUUAACACGCGGUUGACAACGGAAGGUGGUUGUUGCGUUUGGUACAACGAACCACAGUACCUAGCUGAUAUUGAAGAGCACUUGGGAGUGACCAUCCAGCAGGUCGAUCAAGAAAUGAAAGUUCCAGUUGACGAAUUUGAUGGCAAAGUGAUUUAUGGU